AACAAGAGAAGAAUUUACAUGGUUCAACUACCGAUUCCUUACGUCUUGGACACAACCUCAAAGGGUUACAUUUCGUUCACUUGUGUGUUUAACAUAAUACAUAAAAGUCCAUAUUUAUAAUGGAUGAUACAAGAUACAUAUGCCAUCCUAUCAAUAAACCAUAAAUCAAUCCUUUAUAUAAGCAUUCAUCAAGCCAAUGACUUAGCUAAUCAAUCACGUGAUUUUUUCAUUAUCUCGAGAUUCUUCAAUAAUAAUAUGAUAAAAUAAAACUUUAGCUAGGUUCAAUUCUUGAAUCCAUAUUGAAAUUUAAUUAGGGAAAUAUUACCUAAUUUUGUAAAACAAUGCCAUCAAACAACAGGUCAAUAACAAGAUUAGGACCACAAAGGGGGCAUAUGAAGAGAGAGAAACAAGAGCAUCUUGUAUUAAUAUUCAAAGCUUCUUUCCACU
rnacentral:misc_RNA from 1 species